GGGGUUAGAUGUGAGGGUAAGUGGUGUUUUUGGAAAAUAUUUUCCUAACUUUUUCUAGGAAAGUCAUUUUACUCCAAUUUCAGGAAAAUGUGAUAUUAGGAAAACAUUUUCCAAACUAUUUUGUACAACCAAACAGUAGAAAAUGAAAAAAUAUUUUCCGACAUACCAACAUCCUUAGUGGUGGCAUAAUAAUAACAAACAACAACAACAACAACUACCCAGU
rnacentral:lncRNA from 1 species